CGCAGCCGCGGUAAUUCCAGCUCCAAUAGCGUAUAUUAAAGCUGUUGCAGUUAAAAGCUCGUAGUUGAAUUUCGAGAUUGGCGUAUCGGUCGUGCCUUAAUUGGAAUGUACUGGUAGUUGUCAAUCUCCACCUUCUAGCGAACUGCUAUGCCUUUUACUAGGUGUAGUAGGGAGCUAGGACUGUUACUUUGAAAAAUUGAGUGUUUAAAGCAGGCUUUAUGCUUGAAUACAUUAGCAUGGAAUAAUGAAAUAGGACGGUAUGGUUCUAUUUUGUUGGUUUCUAGGAACACCGUAAUGAUUAAUAGGGAUAGUUGGGGGCAUUAGUAUUCAAUUGUCAGAGGUGAAAUUCUUGGAUUUAUUGAAGACUAACUACUGCGAAAGCAUUUGCCAAGGAUGUUUUCAUUAAUCAAGAACGAAAGUUAGGGGAUCGAAGACGAUCAGAUACCGUCG
rnacentral:rRNA from 1 species